rnacentral:rRNA from 1 species
GACGAACGCUUUCGGCGUGCUUAACACAUGCAAGUCGAACGGAAAGGCCCUGCUUUUGUGGGGUGCUCGAGUGGCGAACGGGUGGGUAACACGUGAGUAACCUGCCCUUGACUUUGGGAUAACUUCAGGAAACUGGGGCUAAUACCGGAUAGGAGCUCCUGCUGCAUGGUGGGGGUUGGAAAGUUUCGGCGGUUGGGGAUGGACUCGCGGCUUAUCAGCUUGUUGGUGGGGUAGUGGCUUACCAAGGCUUUGACGGGUAGCCGGCCUGAGAGGGUGACCGGCCACAUUGGGACUGAGAUACGGCCCAGACUCCUACGGGAGGCAGCAGUGGGGAAUAUUGCACAAUGGGCGGAAGCCUGAUGCAGCAACGCCGCGUGCGGGAUGACGGCCUUCGGGUUGUAAACCGCUUUCGCCUGUGACGAAGCGUGAGUGACGGUAAUGGGUAAAGAAGCACCGGCUAACUACGUGCCAGCAGCCGCGGUGAUACGUAGGGUGCGAGCGUUGUCCGGAUUUAUUGGGCGUAAAGGGCUCGUAGGUGGUUGAUCGCGUCGGAAGUGUAAUCUUGGGGCUUAACCCUGAGCGUGCUUUCGAUACGGGUUGACUUGAGGAAGGUAGGGGAGAAUGGAAUUCCUGGUGGAGCGGUGGAAUGCGCAGAUAUCAGGAGGAACACCAGUGGCGAAGGCGGUUCUCUGGGCCUUUCCUGACGCUGAGGAGCGAAAGCGUGGGGAGCGAACAGGCUUAGAUACCCUGGUAGUCCACGCUGUAAACGGUGGGUACUAGGUGUGGGGUCCAUUCCACGGGUUCCGUGCCGUAGCUAACGCUUUAAGUACCCCGCCUGGGGAGUACGGCCGCAAGGCUAAAACUCAAAGGAAUUGACGGGGCCCCGCACAAGCGGCGGAGCAUGCGGAUUAAUUCGAUGCAACGCGUAGAACCUUACCUGGGUUUGACAUGGAUCGGGAGUGCUCAGAGAUGGGUGUGCCUCUUUUGGGGUCGGUUCACAGGUGGUGCAUGCCUGUCGUCAGCUCGUGUCGUGAGAUGUUGGGUUAAGUCCCGCAACGAGCGCAACCCUUGUUCACUGUUGCCAGCACGUUAUGGUGGGGACUCAGUGGAGACCGCCGGGGUCAACUCGGAGGAAGGUGGGGAUGACGUCAAGUCAUCAUGCCCCUUAUGUCCAGGGCUUCACGCAUGCUACAAUGGCUGGUACAGAGAGUGGCGAGCCUGUGAGGGUGAGCGAAUCUCGGAAAGCCGGUCUCAGUUCGGAUUGGGGUCUGCAACUCGACCUCAUGAAGUCGGAGUCGCUAGUAAUCGCAGAUCAGCAACGCUGCGGUGAAUACGUUCCCGGG